CACCAGACUCCUACGGGAGGCAGCAGUGAGGAAUAUUGGGCAAUGGAGGCAACUCUGACCCAGCCAUGCCGCGUGAGUGAAGAAGGUUUUCGGAUUGUAAAGCUCUUUCGGAUGUGACGAUGAUGACGGUAGCAUCUAAAGAAGCCCCGGCUAACUACGUGCCAGCAGCCGCGGUAAUACGUAGGGGGCAAGCGUUAUCCGGAUUUACUGGGUGUAAAGGGAGCGUAGACGGCAGCACAAGUCUGGAGUGAAAUGCCGGGGCUUAACCCCGGAACUGCUUUGGAAACUGUGCACUUAGAGUGCAGGAGAGGUAAGUGGAAUUCCUAGUGUAGCGGUGAAAUGCGUAGAUAUUAGGAGGAACACCAGUGGCGAAGGCGGCUUACUGGACUGUAACUGACGUUGAGGCUCGAAAGCGUGGGGAGCAAACAGGAUUAGAUACCCCUGUAGG
rnacentral:rRNA from 1 species